rnacentral:rRNA from 1 species
GACGAACGCUGGCGGCGUGCCUAACACAUGCAAGUCGAACGGACAGGCCCUGCUUUUGUGGGGUUCUCGAGUGGCGAACGCGUGUGUAACACGUGAGUAACCUGCCCUUGACUUUCGGAUAACUUCACGAAACUGGGGCUAAUACCGCAUAGGAGCUCCUGCUGCAUGUUGUUGGUUGGAAAGUUUCGGCUGUUGGGGAUGGAUUCGCGGCUUAUGCGCUGGUUUGUGUGGUAGGGGCUUACCAAGGCUUCGACGGCUAGCCGGCAUGAGAGGGUGGCCGGCCACCUGGGGCCUGCGAGACGGACCAGACGCCAACGGGAGGCAGCAGUGGGGAAUAUUGCACAAUGGGCGGACGCCUGAGGCAGCAACGCCGCGUGCGGGAUGCCGGCUUUCGGGUUGUGAACCGCUUUCGCCGGUGACGAAGCGUGAGUGACGGUAACGGGUAAAGAAGCAACGGCUAACUACGUG